rnacentral:rRNA from 1 species
CAACUUGAGAGUUUGAUCCUGGCUCAGGACGAACGCUGGCGGCAGGCUUAACACAUGCAAGUCGAGCGCCCCGCAAGGGGAGCGGCAGACGGGUGAGUAACACGUGGGAACGUGCCUUUCGGUUCGGAACAACUGCGGGAAACUGCAGCUAAAACCGGAUACGCCCUUCGGGGGAAAGUUUACGCCGAAAGAUCGGCCCGCGUCUGAUUAGGUAGUUGGUGGGGUAAUGGCCUACCAAGCCGAUGAUCAGUAGGUGGUCUGAGAGGAUGAUCACCCACACUGGGACUGAGACACGGCCCAGACUCCUACGGGAGGCAGCAGUGGGGAAUAUUGGACAAUGGGCGCAAGCCUGAUCCAGCCAUGCCGCGUGGAUGA